GAAGAAGUCGCCGACAUAGUCCCGCGCUGACAUGGGCGUCACAGGUCUCCGAUAUGGGGCCGAGAGCGGUGGCGCCGCUGGGGUCGGCACCGUUGCUAAGGGCCCUGUACAGUACCGAUAUGGUAUAAAAUAAUAUUGCCAGCACUGUUAUAUAGAAACAUAUGUCCCUCGCUGAGACCGAAGGCCAGUGAUUGGCAAUCAAUUUAUCGAGCAGGCAAAUAUUUGGGCGACCUUUGAUGUAAAUCCACUCAAGUAUAGUCCACUAUUCAACGGAUGGAAUACGGCUCGGUAACAUGGAGAGGACUUGUAUUGCUGUGCAUUUUGGAUCCUUCGUGUUCUUAACACGAAGGAAUAACAUUGGAUACAAAGAGGAGGACAAAAGAAAUAAUGUACGAUACCAAAUUACGUAAGUAGAUAUUAUUUUGGCGGGUAGAUACUAUUGUUUGGAGUCUGCGUAAGUAUAGAAUAUAAAUAUUAUUCAUAAAAUAUUUCUUAAAUAAGAUACUUCAUUAAUUUUAAAAUAUAUUAAAAUUUGUUAGGUACUAAAUGAGUUUAGUCUUCGUAGCAAUUGUGGAACAAUUUAUAUUCAAUGAAAUGUCUGUUGCUGCCAUAUGAUUAUUCACACUUAGGUGUAUAAAGUAUAGCGAUAGGUAUUUGCAGUAAAAUUUAUGAAUAUUAUUUUAUUUUUUUUAGGUAUCUGAAAAUGUUUCAGAUUUGUUGAAUAGAGUGUAAUUGUUAUGGAUUCGGUCCACAAUUCAUUACACCUAAUUGAUAUAUAAAUUUUACAUAUCCUGUAUUAAUUUUAUAGAGCA